CUCACUGUGCCAUGCUGGGCAAAUGCCCACUGAGAGGAGGUUGCCCAUUUCCUGCCAGUUCUCUUUGCCUCUCUGGAUUGAGUGCCAGCUAUUCUCAAGCCAAUAUUUGAUCCAAGAAGGGAGGAGGAAGGGAGGGAGGGAACAAGGGAAGGGCAGUGCCAAUAGUUCUCAGGGAUUUGCGGGUAUCCUAGAAGCAUCUGGGCAAUGUGAGAGGAGGUGAAAUCUAGGCAGGAAAAGAGCUAGCAGGAACCAGACUGAGGGGGAAGAGCCUCCAGCCAACUGGGAAGAGGUUCAAGGCCAGGUCUUCUCUCAGAGGGAGCUGGAGGGGGAACAGAGCUCUGGGCAGAUGACCAGUGUCCCUGGCACAUCCAAGUGGUAUUUAAUAGAAUGCAGGCAGCUCAAGGCUCCCAUAGAUACUGGCAGCAGGGGAGGGGGCAGCCACCCUGUCCUCAAGCACACACUGAGCCCCAGGUAUGGAAGCCACUUGUUGUCCCUACCCCCCUCUGCCAGACUUUCAGGUUCAAGGCCUUGGCAAAAUAGAUCUUACAAGUGAACAAACAGCCUUUAGAAUCCAAAGCUCGGCAGGAAGGGGAUGAAUAUUUGAGAUAUUCCUAUUUUCUAAACUGGCGAGAUUAAAUACGGUUUCCUAGCCUCCAUGAAUAUCCAUUUGUCUUAGGGGUGCUGUGAAGGAUUUCCCUCCAUACAGCUGCCCUCUUACGACAUUGCUUCCUCUGCGGUCUUAGGUGGGUAAGACCUUGGGUGGUGGCUGACAGUCAUUGGUCAAGUUUGUUGCCGGGGCAGAGUGACUGGCCGUAGCUCCUCAGCAAGGAUGAGUUGACUUUAUUCUUCUUCAUUUUCCUUCCAGGCCAACCAGAGGCUGCCCCCUGCAAAUGUGUUUACUUUACAGAUUCCACCUUCCCUUGGGUGGAGGCUGACCUUUGACCGGGGUGAGCAGACCCAUUUGGGCAAUGACCUUGAGGUAUGCUCCCUGACCUAGCUUUCACUGGCAGCAAAGGUGGAGUUUUGUUAGCUCUCUGCUACCUCUUUUGUCCAGAACUUGGGGACUUGCUCUUCCUGGAUCCCUGGUGGACCUGGAAAAUGCUAUGGGCAGCCAGGCUUCUGCAGGCAAGCCUUGGCCUCCAGCAGAGGAAGAAGAUGUUCUGGCCUGCUGUGUCAUUCCCUUGGGGCUCCUGGUGACAUCCCUGACUGUCUUUUUGGCUUCUUUGUGACAUAUGUGGACAAGUCUCUCCCAAACUCUUCAUGGAGAUAUUUGCAUCAAAAGAGAAACUAACAGCAACGAUGCCGCAGGAUCAGAUCGAACAUGAACCUCUGCCCUUGGGUCUGAACGUCUGGACUUAAAACCGGUGCUUCUAAUGGUACAACAUAGUAAUAGCUCAGCGUGUGUUAGCAGAGAAUAGUUCUGGAUAAUGACAUUUUCUCUAAAAUGUGACAACUGAA